UCUUGAAUAGUUGUUUAGAUUCGUUGGUUGGUGACUAAGUGCGAGUUCUUUUAGGAUAUAGUCAAGCACUAUGUGUUGUCCCGUAUGUGUAUAAGUAGAGCAGUUGUAAUUGUAAAAAAGCAUCUCAAGUUUAAUGAAAUGUAGACAUUAAAAUCUCUUUGUGUGUGUCUCCCUCUCUACUAUCCUCUGUACCUGUUUUGCGACAUGGUAUCAAAGCGAGGUUAGAGAGAGGUGUUCACUGUGGGUGUUUGUUCAUUAGACAUUGAAGCUAUGUGUGGAGUCUUAUCUUCAAGGAAAAGAUCUGUGGGAGUUGGUUUCAGGUGUAGAAGAGGUUCAGCUGGAUAUAUACCUCAGUGUAGAGGAAGUUUGUAAGAUGCUAAUGGAAGUGGUUGUAUUAAUUCUUCAAAGACGCUUUUCUUAGAAGGGUAAGUUAUCACUAUACUAAUCUUCUUCCAAUUGUUUUUGAUUUAAGGUGUGAAGUAGUCAGAUGUCAAAGAAAUGACUUAAAUGUACGUAUAAGAAAUGAGUUUGAGUACCAAUAUGUACGUAUAAGAAAUGAGUUUGAGUAGUCAGAUGUCAAAGAAAUGAGUUUGAGACUUUGAGUACCUAUAUGUACGUAUUUCAUUCUUGGUGGUGGAUAGUGACCUGUUUCACUUCUAGUUUGAGGUUACUUCACUUGGUAGUGGCAGUCUACACAAAAUGAUACGUUUGGUUAGUCAUUUAGGGCUGAUUACUUAAAAACUUUAUUUCUUUUGUUGAAAUCUAGUUUUGAUUUUUCUCUGAAGCUGCACGGUUGUGAAUCUUUAUGUUCAAGACGUAUGAAGGUACUAUGGAAGUAUUCGUCUUCAGGUUUUUUAUUGUCCUUCUCGUGAAUUAGGUUGUAUUUCUUCAAUAAUUAUAUCAAGAUAUGAUGUCAGGCAGUCAUGGUAUGUUUUCAGUCAAAUAUUUGACAUGUAUCACUGGGUUAAUUUGGCAUUCAUUUAUUCCUUCCAAAUUGUUACUUGCACAUACGAUGAUAUUUUGUUAGUUUUGUGAGGUAUCCUUAUAUGGGUGGUUUAUUUGCCGAUAAAGCGUUGUCUUUAUUUCUCAUAGAGAUUGGUGAAGUAUAUUUGAAAGGUAUUAAUUAUUUUGAUUCUUUGUUGAAGUUGCCAGUGUUCGGUUUUGUUUCUUCAUAAUGUUUAAAGUGAAGGUGUGAAUAGUUUUCUGGUUAAGGUAUUCUUCUUGUGUUUGGUGGCCUCUGUCAGGUGGUACCUUUCUUGGUGCUUGAAGUGCACUUUUCAGUUGUCUUUCUUCCUUACAGAAGAUAUUGGUGUUAGUUUGAGGUGUUGCCACCACUUGAUUGCUAAUGCUUGAUCCAUUAGUUUCUUUGAAAGCUCAAAAUGUUGGAGCUAUCAGUUGAAGUUGUAUAAAUUUCUUGACAAAGAAUUAUUCGUUUCCGUCACUUGCGAUGUGUUUUCAUUUUGGUCUUAGUGACCGUCUUGAAGGUGGAGUUUGGGUGACCGUUUGAUAUGUCUGAGAAGACAUUUGCUUGCUGCAAUGCAUCAAAUUUGGUUUAAUUUCUUAGAUUAAUAAGCAGAUGAGAAGAACUCAGUACAGUAGUGAUGAUUGGUAUGGAAGCUGAUUGGUCCAGUUGGUGCAGUGAUUUUGCCUCCACUGUUUGCAGGGUUCCUUCCCAAGCUGGGUUGCUGAAGUGCUGGUGUUUGAGGUGCUUGCUGAAAGUGUUGUGAUAGUCUAUGGAAUUCCAAAAGUGCUGUGUUGCAACGAUACGGAUACAGUAUCGGAUACAAGAUACCAAUACGCUACUAUGAUACACCAACUUGAAAAACUAAAAUACGGCGAUACGGCACUCAAUAUUGAUCAGUAAUUUAACAUAAAUAUGUGUUUGCAUGAUUAAAAUAUAAUCUGUAUGAUUAAAUUGAAGAGAGAAAAAGUUUGGAUAAGAAAGGAAGAAAGCCUAGAGCAAGAUCAGUGGACAGAUUUGGAACUAAUGUUUUGUCACUGUAGUUAAAACUUCUCAUAGAAUCUAGUAAAAUAUCUAAAUUUUCUAA